GACGAACGCUGGCGGCGUGCUUAACACAUGCAAGUCGAACGGAAAGGCCCUGCUUUUGUGGGGUGCUCGAGUGGCGAACUGGUGAGUAACACGUGAGUAACCUGCCCUUGACUUUGGGAUAACUUCAGGAAACUGGGGCUAAUACCGGAUAGGAGCUCCUGCUGCAUGGUGGGGGUUGGAAAGUUUCGGCGGUUGGGGAUGGACUCGCGGCUUAUCAGCUUGUUGGUGGGGUAGUGGCUUACCAAGGCUUUGACGGGUAGCCGGCCUGAGAGGGUGACCGGCCACAUUGGGACUGAGAUACGGCCCAGACUCCUACGGGAGGCAGCAGUGGGGAAUAUUGCACAAUGGGCGGAAGCCUGAUGCAGCAACGCCGCGUGCGGGAUGGCGGCCUUCGGGUUGUAAACCGCUUUCGCCUGUGACGAAGCGUGAGUGACGGUAAUGGGUAAAGAAGCACCGGCUAACUACGUG
rnacentral:rRNA from 1 species